AUACGUAGGUGGCAAGCGUUGUCCGGAAUUAUUGGGCGUAAAGCGCAUGUAGGCGGUGCCUUAAGUCUGUCGUGAAACUGCGGGGCCUAACCCCGUAUGGCGAUGGAAACUGUGGCACUUGAGUGCAGGAGAGGAAAGGGGAACCCCCAGUGUAGCGGUGAAAUGCGUAGAUAUUGGGAAGAACACCGGUGGCGAAGGCGCCUUUCUGGACUGUGUCUGACGCUGAGAUGCGAAAGCCAGGGUAGCGAACGGGAUUAGAUACCCCGGUAGUCCUGGCCGUAAACGAUGGGUACUAGGUGUGGGAGGUAUCGACCCCUUCCGUGCCGGAGUUAACGCAAUAAGUACCCCGCCUGGGGAGUACGGCCGCAAGGCUUAAACUCAAAGGAAUUGACGGGG
rnacentral:rRNA from 1 species